UACGUAGGGUGCGAGCGUUACUCGGAAUUACUGGGCGUAAAGCGUGCGCAGGCGGUUCGCUGUGUCCGAUGUGAAAGCCCCGGGCUUAACCUGGGAAUGGCAUUGGAAACUGGCGGGCUUGAGUGCGGCAGAGGGGGGUGGAAUUCCGCGUGUAGCAGUGAAAUGCGUAGAGAUGCGGAGGAACACCGAUGGCGAAGGCAGCCCCCUGGGUCGACACUGACGCUCAGGCACGAAAGCGUGGGGAGCAAACAGG
rnacentral:rRNA from 1 species